rnacentral:rRNA from 1 species
AGAGUUUGAUCCUGGCUCAGAUUGAACGCUGGCGGCAUGCCUUACACAUGCAAAUCGGACGGCAGCACGGGUGCUUGCACCUGGUGGCGAGUGGCGAACGGGUGAGUAAUAUAUCGGAACGUACCCUAGAGUGGGGGAUAACGUAGCGAAAGUUACGCUAAUACCGCAUACGAUCUACGGAUGAAAGUGGGGGAUCGCAAGACCUCAUGCUCAUGGAGCGGCCGAUAUCUGAUUAGCUAGUUGGUGGGGUAAUAGCCUACCAAGGCGACGAUCAGUAGCUGGUCUGAGAGGACGACCAGCCACACUGGAACUGAGACACGGUCCAGACUCCUACGGGAGGCAGCAGUGGGGAAUUUUGGACAAUGGGGGCAACCCUGAUCCAGCAAUGCCGCGUGAGUGAAGAAGGCCUUCGGGUUGUAAAGCUCUUUUGUCAGGGAAGAAACGGGAUUUUCUAAUACAGAGUCCUAAUGACGGUACCUGAAGAAUAAGCACCGGCUAACUACGUGCCAGCAGCCGCGGUAAUACGUAGGGUGCAAGCGUUAAUCGGAAUUACUGGGCGUAAAGCGUGCGCAGGCGGUUGUGCAAGACAGAUGUGAAAUCCCCGGGCUCAACCUGGGAAUUGCAUUUGUGACUGCACGGCUAGAGUGUGUCAGAGGGGGGUAGAAUUCCACGUGUAGCAGUGAAAUGCGUAGAGAUGUGGAGGAAUACCGAUGGCGAAGGCAGCCCCCUGGGAUAACACUGACGCUCAUGCACGAAAGCGUGGGGAGCAAACAGGAUUAGAUACCCUGGUAGUCCACGCCCUAAACGAUGUCUACUAGUUGUCGGGUCUUAAUUGACUUGGUAACGCAGCUAACGCGUGAAGUAGACCGCCUGGGGAGUACGGUCGCAAGAUUAAAACUCAAAGGAAUUGACGGGGACCCGCACAAGCGGUGGAUGAUGUGGAUUAAUUCGAUGCAACGCGAAAAACCUUACCUACCCUUGACAUGUACGGAACUUACCAGAGAUGGUUUGGUGCUCGAAAGAGAACCGUAACACAGGUGCUGCAUGGCUGUCGUCAGCUCGUGUCGUGAGAUGUUGGGUUAAGUCCCGCAACGAGCGCAACCCUUGUCAUUAGUUGCUACGAAAGGGCACUCUAAUGAGACUGCCGGUGACAAACCGGAGGAAGGUGGGGAUGACGUCAAGUCCUCAUGGCCCUUAUGGGUAGGGCUUCACACGUCAUACAAUGGUACAUACAGAGGGCCGCCAACCCGCGAGGGGGAGCUAAUCCCAGAAAGUGUAUCGUAGUCCGGAUUGUAGUCUGCAACUCGACUACAUGAAGUUGGAAUCGCUAGUAAUCGCGGAUCAGCAUGUCGCGGUGAAUACGUUCCCGGGUCUUGUACACACCGCCCGUCACACCAUGGGAGCGGGUUUCACCAGAAGUAGGUAGCCUAACCGCAAGGAGGGCGCUUACCACGGUGGGAUUCGUGACUGGGGUGAAGUCGUAACAAGGUAGCCGUAUCGGAAGGUGCGGCUG